rnacentral:rRNA from 1 species
UAAGACGAACUGUCCUAACGUUGUUCGGAAUCACUGGGCUUAAAGGGCGCGUAGGCGGUCUGGUAAGUCGGGGGUGAAAUCCUGCAGCUCAACUGUAGAAGUGCCUUCGAUACUGCCAGUCUGGAGGGAGAUAGGGGUGUGUGGAACUUCCAGUGGAGCGGUGAAAUGCGUUGAUAUUGGAAGGAACGCCGGAGGCGAAAGCGACGCACUGGAUCUCUUCUGACGCUGAGGCGCGAAAGCUAGGGGAGCAAACGGGAUUAGAUACCCCGGUAGUCCUAGCCCUAAACGAUGAGUACUAGAUUGUAGACUAUCAUGGGUUUACAGUCGAAGCAAAAGUUUUAAGUACUCCGCCUGGGGAGUAUGGUCGCAAGGCUG